rnacentral:rRNA from 1 species
UACGUAGGGGGCGAGCGUUGUCCGGAUUCAUUGGGCGUAAAGAGCUCGUAGGCGGUUCAGUAAGUCGGGCGUGAAAUCUCCGUGCUCAACACGGAGCGGCCACCUGAUACUGCUGUGACUCGAGUCCGGUAGGGGAGUGUGGAAUUCCCGGUGUAGCGGUGAAAUGCGCAGAUAUCGGGAGGAACACCAGUAGCGAAGGCGGCACUCUGGGCCGUGACUGACGCUGAGGAGCGAAAGCGUGGGUAGCAAACAGG